CACGAGGAUCCCGGGCUAGUUGAUCUAUCAGUUCUAUCAGACCAGGAUAAGCAUCAGUCGAGCUACGUGCGAUCAGAGGGGUACGCGCCAGUUUAGUUUACGGAGCAUGGCCGUAAACUGAACACAUGGACAGUCGAGCAUUCGGGAGUGAUAGAGUAUUUACGACAUACUGGCUUUUCCUACGUCUCCCGCCUCAGACGAGUACAGCUAGAUCAGGCUCUGUUAGGGGCGAUGAUAGAGCGAUGGAGGCAUGAGACGUAGACAUUCCACCUACAUCACGGAGAGAUGACAGUUACGCUAUGUGACGUGGCCAUUACAGCUGGACUACGAGUCUCCGUGGAGCCUGUUACAGGACGUGUUUCAUUUGAUUUGUUGCAUACAUGUGAGCUCCUUCUUGGGAUACAGCCAGACGAUGUCAUCGCCGUCCAGAUCCGCUUGGAGUGGUUGUUUCAGCAUUUCCAGCAUAUUCCUUUGGAUGCUCCGGCGGCCAUGGUUGCAGCAUCUGCACGAGCAUACAUUUUAUUUCAAAUUGGAUGCAGUUUGUUUCCUAACCCCACUGGAUAUUGCGUUCACCUCAAGUUGUUACCGCUACUUGAGGAUUUUGACUUCUGCGGAGACCUAGCUUGGGGCGCAGCUACCUUGGCCCAUCUCUAUCGGGCAUUAGGAAAUGCCUCUAUGAAGGGAAAGGCCGAGUGUUGUGGCUUUGGUACACUACUGCAGAUAUGGGCAUGGGACCAUAUACAUAUUGGACGUCCAGAUUGAGUUGGAGCUCCGCCGGAUCUCCAUGAUUGUCCAUUAGGUUGUCGGUGGAACAUGGGAUUGCGAUUUCGUGGAAAUGUCAGGGCGACAGACAUUGAGUUUUAUCGCGACGAGCUUGUAGCGCACUAGACCUU